AACCUCGGAUUAGGCAGGGAUACCCGCUGAACUUAAGCAUAUCAAUAAGCGGAGGA
rnacentral:rRNA from 1 species